AUGAAGAGAAUAACGGGGAAGACGAAAGAAGCCACUUUGAUUGAAAUGUCCAACACGCUGGAUUCUCAGAUUGAAGGUAAUAAUGGCAGUAUUAACUCCAUCUCUGACCGAGGGACACAGCUGCCUGGUCACCGGGAGACAGACAAGUUUGGACAGAACAGGGACACUGUGUACUUCAAGGAUGGUGUUCGGCACAUCGAUUUUGUCCUGUCCUAUGUUGACGACAAGGAUGGAGACAAGAAAGCGGAGAGAAGAAGAGAGUUUGAAGCCAACCUGGAAAAGGCUGGUCUUGAGCUGGAGGCUGAAGAUAAAUCGGAGUCAGGUGACCGUAAGACGUAUUAUCUGAAGAUUCACGCUCCGUGGGAAGUGUUGGCCACCUAUGCUGAUGUGCUAAAGAUUAAAGUGCCCUUUAAAGCGAGUGAUAUUCCCAAAGCUCAAGAAGUUCAUCUGGAGUGGCUCACUCAACCUUUCCGGCUGCCAGACAACAUCAUGAUGCCAGAGCCGGACUACUUCACUGCACCUUUUGAUAAGAGCAAGGUUGACUUCUUCCUCAUUGAUGAUAAGGACACAUUUUUUCCUCCCUCCACUCGCAACAGGAUCGUGUACUACAUCCUGACCCGCUGCCCUUACUACAAGGAAGACUGUAAAGAGGAAGAUAAGACGGGAAUUAAACGUCUGCUGAACAACGGCACCUACACUUCAGCUUAUCCCCUUCAUGAUUGUAAGUACUGGAAGAAAGCAGAAGACAUGCAGUGUGACAGUGAGAGGUAUCAUCUGUAUAGAUACUGGGCUCGAUUCCUCUGCUUCUACAAGAAGCAACCACUCAAUCUGAUCAAGAAGUACUAUGGUGAGAAGAUUGGUAUCUACUUUGCCUGGCUGGGCUUUUACACAGAAAUGCUGUUUUUUGCUGCAGUCAUGGGUGUGAUUUGUUUUGUUUAUGGUGUGCUUAGUUACGAAGACAACAUCACAAGCAAGGAGAUCUGUGACCCAGAAAUCGGUGGGAUGAUUGUCAUGUGUCCACUCUGUGAUAAAAAGUGCAGCUACUGGAAACUCAACUCAACGUGUCUGUCCUCCUGGCAAUCCCAUCUAUUUGAUAAUGAGGGGACUGUCUUCUUUGCCAUGUUCAUGGGUAUUUGGGUGACUCUGUUCCUGGAGUUCUGGAAGCGGCGGCAGGCCCGUCUGGAGUAUGAGUGGGACCUUGUGGACUUUGAGGAGGAACAGCAGCAGCUACAGAUCAGACCAGAGUAUGAGUUGAAAUGCACAGGCCUAAAUAUUUUCAUUUCUGUUUAUAAGUCCUUCCCUCUCUUUGUGUUUUGUCAGACGUGUCUGAUAGUGGCCUGUAUAAUAGGAGUGAUCGCUUACAGAUUGGCAGUUUAUGCAGCGUUUGCCAGUGUCAUGAAGGACAGCCCCACCAGUAAGAUCCAGCUGGUGGGAUCUCUCAUCACCCCUCAACUUGCCACCUCUGUCACUGCUUCCUGCAUUAACUUUGUCAUUAUCCUCAUCCUCAACUUCCUCUAUGAGCAUGUGGCCAUUUGGAUCACUGAUAUGGAGAUCCCCAAGACCCAUCUGGAGUAUGAGAAUAAGCUGACCAUGAAGAUGUUUAUGUUCCAGUUUGUGAACUACUACUCUUCCUGUUUCUAUGUGGCCUUCUUUAAAGGGAAGUUUGUGGGUUAUCCGGGAAACUACAGUUAUAUGUUUGGAAAGUGGAGCAUGCUGAGAAAUGAAGAGUGUGCCCCGGGGGGCUGUCUGAUUGAGCUGACCACACAGCUGCUUAUCGUCAUGGCUGGAAAACAAAUGGUUGGGAACGCUCAAGAGGCUCUGUUGCCUCUUCUCAGAAACUGUACAUACAGUAGAUGGGAGCAGGACCACGAUCUGCAGAACUUCAGCCAGUAUGGCCUCUUCUAUGAGUAUCUGGAAAUGGUGAUCCAGUUUGGCUUCAUAACACUUUUCGUGGCCUCUUUUCCACUGGCCCCUCUUCUUGCCCUCUUCAACAACAUCCUGGAGGUGCGAGUCGAUGCUUGGAAGUUGACUACACAGUUCAGAAGGCCAGUGGCAGCGAAGGCGCGCAACAUUGGAGCAUGGAAAGAGAUCCUUAAUGUGGUGGCCAUCUUGUCCGUGGUCACAAAUGCUUUCAUCGUGGCAUUUACCUCAGAUAUGAUUCCUCGCCUGGUCUAUCUGUACGCCUACCACCCAGGCAACAAGGCCACUAUGAGAGGUUACAUCACCAACAGCCUCUCCUUUUACAACAUCUCUCAGAUCCCUGAAGAUAACCUACCUGAACAUGGAGAAAACCCAUCCUGGUAUCGGGACUACAGAUACCCACCUGGGCAUGAAAAGCAAUACACACACACAAUGCAGUUCUGGCAUAUCUUGGCUGCUAAGCUAGCCUUCAUCGUCAUUAUGGAACAUGUUGUAUUUGUGGUGAAAUUCUUUGUGGCGUGGCUGAUUCCAGAUGUGCCGGUAGGGAUAAAGUCACAUAUAAAGCGUGAACGCUUUCUGGUUCAGGAAUACCUGCACAACUACGAAGUGGAGAAACUCAAGCUGCAGCUGAGCCAGAGUUGCAGCCUGGCCACAGAAACGGCCCCACUGCUGCCCUCUAGUCCGAGUAAACACCGGGUGCUUUCUGAAUGUAUUUGAAUAUCCCUGAAUCCUCAGGACUACUCUAAUAUACUAUACACCACAAAGCAUGGAGGAAUCUUCGGGACCCCUUCAUACAUUUACUGCAAAAAACUGUCUGCCCUCAUCCAAACAACUGCCAGAACUUUUAUAAAAAACUACACGCCUAACAGUCUUUUUUCCUGCUUGAGUUUUAUGGGAAAACAUUACCGCUUUUCUCUGUGUUUUUUCUCAAAUGUCUGGAGUGCACUUGCAGAACUGUACUUCUACAGUGGCGAAAGGCUUGGAGACCGAUCACAAAACAUUUCUGCAGCAAACCCUCUUGAAUGCGGCCUGCUGCUCCUUGAGUAUGCUGCUGGGAAUUCAACUUAUGAAUAAUCAUUUAUGACCAAUUAAAAGACUGAAAAUGUUUUACAAGGCAGUAAGCUUUUAUAUCCGUCCAGCUUGUUGCCAUUAUAUAUAUAUAUAUAUAUAAUUUCUUUUUUUCUUUUUUUUUCUUUUUUUUGAAGUAAUCUGCAUGUUUUACUUUGUCUGACUGUGAAAGAGGUACAUGUAGACAGUGAAUUGUCUUUUUUGUCUAUUUUUUGUUUUUCUUUUCUUUAGAUAUGUAAGAUUUCCUUUAGGCGUGUGAGGUUUAACAGUUAAUAUAUGUUGUUGUCCAGUGGAUUUUACCACUGUGGAUAUUUUCUUUAUGAAACACACUAAUAGCUGAAUAACUAUCAAAGAAUAUCAUAAUUUCUGUAGUGCUUGCAUUAUCUUGUUUCACAUAAUAUUUAUAUUUUAUUAUUGUUAUUUUUGAUUAAUGCUGCAUCUUGCCACACACACAUUUUGGUCUGUGUAAUAUUAAAUGUAAGGGUUUUUUUGUUUGUUUGUUUUUUUUUUUUUAAUUAUUAUGACUGUUGUUAAUUUUCUUCAAGGGUGUAUUUGUUUCACUACAAUCAUAACCAAUUGAUUGUCUGGUUGGAAGGUUUUUUUUUUUUUUUUUUAAAUCAGAUUAAGCUCUAUACUGACUUGCUGUGUUUUCUGAUACUUCAAAAAUCAGAAACUUAAGCCAUUAUUCAUCACCUCAUUCUGUAAGAGUCUGUCAAAGUUUGCACAUAUCGCAUAUCUCUCAUCUGUAACUGUGACUAGGAGAACACUAGUCUUGUACUGUUUCUCUGUAACUAAUUUCGGCAAAUAUGCUCUGAACAGGAUUAGUUUGCAUUUUUGUGAUCAGUUCUCCAUGCAUCUGAGACUUUGAUCUACACCCUGAUAACUUAAUUGUAUAUUACAGUAGUUCUGGGACAAAUUAAUUGAGUGAAGCAGGCUUUCAGAGAUUCCCAUACAUGUCAAGACAAGAAAUUGCCUCUAAUAGUGUAUACAUGAAAAAGGACAAAAAAUAACGUCACAGUUUUGAAACAAGUGAAUAGAAGGAAUCCAGUAUCCUCUGCCCUAUUACUAAUCAGGUGCAAAGAGAUUUGUUUCUAAACUUUGAAGUGUGUCACAUCAGUAUUUCAGAUGUUUGAUUCAAACAUUGUGUAGCACUGUUGAUGAACACUGUUCACUCAGCGCCAACCAUCCCAUAGGGACAUCACUUGUUUGAGAGCAAACAAAUGUGUUAAAAUUAUGUCCCAAGGGUUUGUCUGUUUUUAAGGUGUCUUACAAUUUAACUACACAUUUUGUGAGCCAUACCUGUUCAUUAAAACUUCUUUUUUUAUAUCUGUUUAUUUCAUUUCACAAAUGUUAUAAAUCCUCUAUAUUUAUUUUUAGCCUGUUGAGUUAUUUUUGCAGUAAUUAAUCGAUAUUUUAUGGAUAAUACAUAUACAGUUUACAGAAAUGUUCUGAAUAUUGUUACUAUACUUGUAAACAAAGUUUUAUCCUAAACAAAAUGCAUAAUAUAUAUGUACCCGAAGUUAAACGUGACAAUCGUAUCAUUAUAAAAAAUAUAUAUAUAUAUAUAUAUAUUUUAAAAAGUUAUUCACUUAGUUAAGGAUAUAUUUGUGUUCAGAUGAGAGCAUGCCACACAUGCAUUUGCCUUAAUAAAAUUUGUCAUGAU
ensembl:lncRNA